rnacentral:pre_miRNA from 1 species
CGUGCGUCGGUGGGGUCCCUCAGCCUGGCCUGCUGACAUCAGGCCAAAACUGGCUCUCUGACAUUCCCAGAGGAGUCCCAGAUUGCGAGAGGUGCAGGCCUGGCUGAGGGACCCCACCAGUGCACA